rnacentral:tRNA from 1 species
GCCUGGCUGGCUCAGUUGGUAGAGCAUGAAACUCUUGAUCUCAUGGUUUUGAGUUCAAGCCCCACGUUGGAUG